AGUAUGGUUGGAUGUUGGCAUGAGUAAAUGCCAUCCAGUAUUUAGCUAGGGGAGUUAAAUCUGUCCUAAGGAUGUUCACCGGUGCUCCGUUAGGGUUUCUCUGAAAAUGCCUCCCAGGGAUACACAUUACUCGCUCAAUAUCCUCAUAAUCCCUGGCUUCCCCCAGUAUAGCAGCAUACCUGCAUUGCUCUCCUGGCCACUCAGUCCCUAGAAAAGCGUUGAUGGUGUCAGGAUCAUAGCUGAUCAAGUGCCC
rnacentral:lncRNA from 1 species